GCCGGGAUAGCUCAGUUGGUAGAGCAGCGCAUUCGUAAUGCGCGGGUCGUGGGUUCGAUUCCCUCUCCCGGCU
rnacentral:tRNA from 1 species